rnacentral:lncRNA from 10 species
GAGGCAUUCCUGGAGUCUCUCUGAAUCUGCUGUGAUUCUGGAGGCUGCCCGAUUCAUGAAUCUUUGUUUUUUUCUUGCUUAAUUAUACUUUGUUAAAUUUAAUUUGUCUGAAGUUUUCUUUUAACAGAUCUGGCUUCAAAAGUGGGAUUCGAAGUAAAACUUUGGCAACCCCCAGGAACACUAGGUGACCAGGCAAGUAUACUUCCACCAGGUAAAGAAAGCUUUUCAAGAUCCACCAACUGAGGAUAAUCAAACCUUCCAUGAUCUGGAACCUGGAGACUGAGUCUUCUGGAAAUGACAUCACAGGAAGACUACUCUCAUUGGAAGGGACUAUACCAAGUCCUUCUCAUCACCUAUACCACAGUGAAGCUUCAGGGCCUUGAAUCUUGGGUCCAUGUCUCACAACUCAAAAGGGCUCCUUUCAAACUCCUGGAACUGUACACCUGUUGGAGACUUUCAGGCUUCCAUUGAAAGUUGAAUGGUCUCACCCCAACUGGGUCAGCAAGUACAUAAAGAAUCAUUCAGCUGGUACAAAAUGUGACUUGUGAAUUCCACAUUGACACCAAAGAAGACCUGUGAAGCACCAUACUAAAACUAAAGAAGACCUGUGAAUUCUACACUGAGACCAAAUAAGUCUUUAUGAUGGUGACAGAGAGUGGCAUCGAUGCCUAAAGUUUUGGCCAAUCUCUCUAAAUUGAGAGGGUGAUCAAAAGGGAGGAAUUGUUAAAGUGAACUAAAUAUGGCCUAAGAAGGACUCUGUACUUCUAUAUUUGAGUCCUUGUGGAUGAACCAUAAUCUAAUUGGAUUGGUAGACAAGAUUAAAAACCUAACUUAGGAGAAUGCAUCUGUAACAGUUGCUGAAUCUUGGCCAAUCCCAGCGGACAUACUUCAACCAAUUAUACACUGUUGAUUGUUCAGACUGUGUUCAAAUAAGGCAAACGCCAACCUGUAACCAAGUCAGCUGUUUCUGUACCUCACUUCUAAUUUCUGUAUGUCACUUUCCCUUUUUAUCUAUAAAUUUGCUCUAACCACGGGGCAUCCCUGGAAUCUCUCUGAAUCUGUUGUGAUUCUGGAGGCUUCCUGAUUCAUGAACCGUUUUUUUUUUCUUGCUCAAUUAAACUCUGUUAAAUUUAAUUUGCCUAAAGUUUUCUUUUAACAGAUC